rnacentral:lncRNA from 1 species
UUUUUUUUCUUUUUCAAAAUUAACCAAACCCUAAUAAAUAUAUUUUUCUUAGCGGGCGUUUGGUUCAGCGUAAAACGAGCCAAAAAAAUAUUUUUAAUAUGAAAAAUAUUUUUCCGUUUGUUUGGUUCGACAUAAAAAUAAUUAUUUUUACAGAUUUGAAAAAAAAAUUGAAGUUUUCAUUUUCUUCUGUUUUCGGCAGAAAACAAAAACUCAAGUUGCGUAAAACUUAUUUUCAUUCAUUUUUUUCACCGAACAAAACAAAUAUGAAUAUUUUUACAAUUUUAUAUUGAAUCAAAUAGACCCUUAGCCAAAUUGCACCCCCAAUCU